rnacentral:misc_RNA from 1 species
GAGGGGGAGGGGGAGGGGGAGGGGAAGGGGGGUGGGUGGGGUGUCGGUAGUAGCUGGCUUCUCCCUAUCAUCAGGCUACCAACUUCCUAACCUUCCUGCAAGGUCAAACUCUUCUGACUUGUGGAAAAUUCUACAGUGCAUUUUUUUUCUCUAUAUUCUUAAUAAACAGCCACCAUGAUCAGCAGGUCACUGUCACCCAUCCUUUACGAAGAGCAUCCAACUAAUGUUAUAUCAUAUACCUGCAUGAAUAUUGGAAGAAGGAUUACAUGUGUUAGCCUGAGUAAUUACCUGGAUUUCGUUUUGAAGCAUUAAUCUGGAGACAUGAUAGGGGUCUUCUUCAAGAAUGAUGGAUGUGUGAUGGAGGGGUGGAGGAGAGAUGAUGGCGGAGAUGGGAUGUGAAGGCCUGCUGAUGUGGAAGGCUGUGUUAGCAAUCUGAUGGUGGACAUGGUGGUGUUGCGGCUGUUGUUGAUGAUGAUCAUGGACCAUAUGAUGUGGCCUCUGAUGGUGCUCGCGAAUCUCAUCACAUGUGCCUGGUACUGGGGUUUCCCUUGCCGUUGAAGCCUCUCCUAUCCCCACCUCAUCGAAGCUUUUCCUGAAUGGGGGGAACCCAAAAUCUGAUUUUAAUUGUUGGAUAUCCAUGGCAGUGUAAGUUGAUAAUGCAGCAGCAACCCCAGCUCCAGUUAUUUCAUCUCUAUGUGGAAUUAAUUCUUUUGAAGAGCAACUCCCACUACCACUGUCUCUUCUGCUGUUGGGAUCACUGCUUCCUUCACCAGUAGUUGCACUUCUAUCAGUCCAAUUGCAUUGCCUUGGCUGCGUUUGAUAAAAGAUCUUUGAAACCACAAGUUCUCCUUCUUUCUCUUCUUCAUUCUGACCAAGGUGGUAUUGGUGCAUGACCCAAUUAGUUUUUUCAGGCUUUCGAUUUUUUCCAAAAUUUGUAUAGAGGACUAGGAUUUUCUUGCACCCUUUUUGUUUGCCAUUCACCAUGACUGGCCUUGUCUUGCCUGUUUUAUGCCAUCUUGUCUCUCCACCUUGCAAGUCGCAUUCGGUUUGAAUUUUUCUUCUCUUUCUUGUUCCAGUUGUGUAAGCCUUGGAAGGUCUAUGGAAGAAAUGCCUGCUCAAGCCAUCUCUUGUAACUCCUGGAAGUUUCUCAGGAUGGGUAUAACAAAUCCCAUCUUCUCCUUCAAUAGUGGGGAUGAACUCAUCUAUCAAAGGGUGAGACUUCAUGUCUUUGGCUUCUACCUUUGCUUCAAGGUGUUCUAUCAGUUCUUGGUCUGUUGGAUCAAAUUUCACUCCUGCUGGUAGACCUAACCAAUCCGGCUUUCCUUCAAGCUUGUGUCCACAACCGGGGCACUGCUUGGAUCCACACAGCUGAUGCUCUUCAAGCUUUGCAUCGAUGAGAUCAGAACUGCUGAUGGAGGUCAAAUUACUCUUAUUCAUUGCUGCAGCUGAUGCUAUUUGCUUCUUUCUGGCAAAGUCUUGGAAUCUUCUACGAAAUUAGCAACUUUAUACUUUAGCCCCCCAUUCAUAUCCCUGUUAGCUAUCUAUAUAUACCAGAAAUCAUGAAUUGGAGAUCAGAUGAUAUGUGAACUAAGAGAAAACACAGUAUAUUGAUGUGGGAAUAUUGGAUUAGGCCUUUUGAUAACUUGAAAGCAAUUUUUUUUUUUUUUUUGAGAUGGAUAUCAAAGAACAAAGCUUCAAACACUUAGAGAUGAUUCAACCAAGAAAACAAGAAACCAAAUACAAAUUACCAUGGAUAUCAAUAAGUAUGUAGUUUACGCAUGAACAAAGCUAAGCUCAAACCAAAAAAUUAAGCAAAACCCAGAUGAGAAAUAGGACCAAAACUGCAAAAUAAAGAAGAAAACAAACAUGUACCGUAAAGAAAAAAAGAAAGAAGGAAAAAAACUCGUGCAAGGGAUAGAAGAGAGAAGCUAGAACAAGGAGGAGGAAAAGAGGAAACUGUCACAGUAGGAUUGAGCUAUAAAACCUGCUUUAACCAUGGAAAACACCAGAAAUCCCUCUCUCUAAUCUCUAACUUUAACUGAAGCUAAGAAAGAAAAAGGUACUCUCAAGCCUAAACACUCGCCUUUAAGCCCUUGCAAGUUUAAGUAGUGCAUGUAAGCGGUUUAUGAGAGAGAAAGGACAGAUAUAGAGAGAGAAAGAAAGAGAAAACACGAUAGAAAGUUAGAAAACAAAAAAUUAGAUUGUUUAUCCUAAAGCAUAAGGCUUCUCUCUCCCACACACCGACAGCCACACCUCCCUUUGUUUUGAGGGCCUUGACUACUAAAGCAAAAGGCAAGAAACGGCCUUCACAGCUGUUACUUAAGGCACACAUUCAAAAGCAUAUAUCAAGAAGAAACCCCAUGUCCUUGAAAUAGUUAUUUAUUAAUUUAAUCACAAAGGGAAAAAAAUAAAUAGUAUGUAUUUAGAUGGAUAAAAGGGUAUAAAUAAGUAAAAAAGCUGAGAACUUGAUUUCUGGAUGAAAAACCUUCUCCAGUGUGCGUACAUAUAUAUAUACGUGGCAGUAAACUUUGAGUAUGAGAGAAGGUAUUGGGCAAGUCACGGACUCACAGUUAAAUUCUUGUUAAUUUUCUUGGGCAUAACAGAUAGAUUAUAGUUAAAACAGUAAAGUUUUAAUUUUUUUUUAUUUUUAGAGAAAGGGAAG